rnacentral:rRNA from 1 species
GACGAACGCUGGCGGCGUGCUUAACACAUGCAAGUCGAACGGAAAGGCCCUGCUUUUGUGGGGUGCUCGAGUGGCGAACGGGUGAGUAACACGUGAGUAACCUGCCCUUGACUUUGGGAUAACUUCAGGAAACUGGGGCUAAUACCGGAUAGGAGCUCCUGCUGCAUGGUGGGGGUUGGAAAGAUUCGGCGGUUGGGGAUGGACUCGCGGCUUAUCAGCUUGUUGGUGGGGUAGUGGCUUACCAAGGCUUUGACGGGUAGCCGGCCUGAGAGGGUGACCGGCCACAUUGGGACUGAGAUACGGCCCAGACUCCUACGGGAGGCAGCAGUGGAGAAUAUUGCACAAUGGGCGGAAGCCUGAUGCAGCAACGCCGCGUGCGGGAUGACGGCCUUCGGGUUGUAAACCGCUUUCGCCUGUGACGAAGCGUGAGUGACGGUAAUGGGUAAAGAAGCACCAGCUAACUACGUG